AGUGGCAAACGGGUGAGUAACGCGUGGGAAUAUACCUUAUAGUACGGAAUAGCCUCGGGAAACUGGGAUUAAUACCGUAUACGCCCUGAGGGGGAAAGAUUUAUCGCUAUAAGAUUAGCCCGCGUCAGAUUAGCUAGUUGGUGGGGUAAUGGCCUACCAAGGCAACGAUCUGUAGCUGGUCUGAGAGGAUGAUCAGCCACAUUGGGACUGAGAUACGGCCCAAACUCCUACGGGAGGCAGCAGUAGGGAAUAUUGGACAAUGGACGAAAGUCUGAUCCAGCAAUGCCGCGUGAGUGAUGAAGGCCCUAGGGUUGUAAAGCUCUUUUAGUGGGGAAGAUAAUGACGGUACCCACAGAAAAAGCACCGGCUAACUUCGUGCCAGCAGCCGCGGUAAUACGAAGGGUGCAAGCGUUGUUCGGAAUUACUGGGCGUAAAGCGCGCGUAGGCGGCUUAGUAAGUUGGGAGUGAAAUCCCGGGGCUCAACCUCGGAAUUGCUUUCAAAACUGCUAAGCUAGAGUAUGGUAGGGGAUAGUGGAAUUCCUAGUGUAGAGGUGAAAUUCGUAGAUAUUAGGAGGAACACCAGUGGCGAAAGCGACUGUCUGGGCCAUUACUGACGCUGAGGCGCGAAAGCGUGGGGAGCAAACAGGAUUAGAUACCCUGGUAGUCCACGCUGUAAACGAUGGGUGCUAGAUAUC
rnacentral:rRNA from 1 species